AGAGUUUGAUUAUGGCUCAGGAUGAACGCUGGCGGCGUGCUUGAUACAUGCAAGUCGAACGGAGAUUGUAGCAAUACGAUCUUAGUGGCGAACGGGUGAGUAACGCGUUGGUGACCUGCCCCGAAGUGUGGGAUACCAGCUCGAAAGGACUGCUAAUACCGCAUGUGGUCAGACGGGUUUAGAAACCGCUGACUAAAGCAGCAAUGCGCUUUGGGAGGGGCCUGCGUCCCAUCAGCUAGUUGGUAAGGUAAUGGCUUACCAAGGCGACGACGGGUAGGGGACCUGAGAGGGUGACCCCCCACAUUGGCACUGAAACACGGGCCAAACACCUACGGGUGGCAGCAGUAGGGAAUAUUGCACAAUGGGCGAAAGCCUGAUGCAGCAACGCCGCGUGCGCGAUGAAGGCCUUCGGGUUGUAAAGCGCUUUUCGGGGAGACGAGGAAGGACGGUAUCCCCGGAAGAAGGAUCGGCUAGCUACGUGCCAGCAGCUGC
rnacentral:rRNA from 1 species